GCGGAAGUGGCGGAAUUGGUAGACGCGCCAGGUUCAGGACCUGGUGAGCAAUACGCUCAUGGGGGUUCGAUUCCCCCCUUCCGCACCA
rnacentral:tRNA from 1 species